UCUUGUGCAAGCUGUCACUUUUUGUAGUGCAAAUCUACUUUAUUAUUGUUUUACACAAAGGGGAAUCGUUGCAUAUUAUUUCAUCCCAAACGAACUUUCCACAAUGAUACAAAAUGCCUAAAGGAGUGAAAAAUAUACAGCGAAAAGCUGCCACACCACGAAAUCCCAGCGCUGCUGCUCCCAAUAGUACCGGUAAGUCUGCUGCCGGAACCGUGAAAGCCAGUGCUGUCACGAAGAAGCAGCCACUGAAACCCAGGAAUAAUGAUCGGAACAUCGUAGUUCGAGAGGAUGCAGCAGCUCUAUUUGCUGCAAUCGCCAAAUGCAAGUCCGAAGCUGCCAAGGAUCAAGACGCUGUGGAUGAUGAUUCUGCAUCGGAGCAGCUCAAUACGUUUUCUUCUGACGACGAACGGGUGGUGAAAAAAGUCAAACUAGAAUCUGCAAACCUACUUGAAAUCGAAGCUACUCACGAAGUUCCCUCUCCAGCUAGCACCCGGAUAAAAAAUACAAUACAAAAACAAUAUAACGUAUUGAAACAGUACCAUUCAAUAUAU